rnacentral:rRNA from 1 species
UGAGGAAUAUUGGUCAAUGGUCGGGAGACUGAACCAGCCAAGCCGCGUGAGGGAUGAAGGUGCUAAGCAUUGUAAACCUCUUUUGUCAGGGAACAAAGGCAUCCACGAGUGGAUGUGUGAGUGUACCUGAAGAAAAAGCAUCGGCUAACUCCGUGCCAGCAGCCGCGGUAAUACGGAGGAUGCGAGCGUUAUCCGGAUUUAUUGGGUUUAAAGGGUGCGUAGGCGGCCUGUUAAGUCAGCGGUAAAAGCCCGGGGCUCAACCCGGCGAGCGUGAACAUGGCUGGCUGGAGUUGGCGAGAGGUAUGCGGAAUGCGCGGUGUAGCGGUGAAAUGCUUAGAUAUCGCGCAGAACUCCGAUUGCGAAGGCAGCAUGCCGGCGCCACACUGACGCUGAGGCACGAAAGCGUGGGGAUGCAAACAGGAUUUAGAUACC